rnacentral:rRNA from 1 species
AGAACGAACGUUAGCGGCGCGCCUAACACAUGCAAGUCGCACGAGAAAGGGCUUCGGCCCCAGUAAAGUGGCGCACGGGUGAGUAACACGUAGGUAAUCUUCCCUCGAGUAGGGGAUAACUCUCCGAAAGGAGAGCUAAUACCGCAUAAGACCACGGUUCCUUCGGGUUCUGUGGCCAAAGCGGGCCUCUUCACGAAAGCUCGCACUUGAGGAUGAGCCUGCGGCCCAUCAGGCAGUUGGCGGGGUAAUGGCCCACCAAACCUAAGACGGGUAGCUGGUCUGAGAGGAUGGUCAGCCACACUGGAACUGAGACACGGUCCAGACUCCGUACGGGAGCAGCAGGUCGGGGAAUCUUGGCGAC